AUUGAACGCUGGCGGCAGGCCUAACACAUGCAAGUCGAGCGGAUGAGAAGAGCUUGCUCUUCGAUUCAGCGGCGGACGGGUGAGUAAUGCCUAGGAAUCUGCCUGGUAGUGGGGGACAACGUUUCGAAAGGAGCGCUAAUACCGCAUACGUCCUACGAGAGAAAGCAGGGGACCUUCGGGCCUUGCGCUAUCAGAUGAGCCUAGGUCGGAUUAGCUAGUUGGUGAGGUAAUGACUCACCAAGGCGACGAUCCGUAACUGGUCUGAGAGGAUGAUCAGUCACACUGGAACUGAGACACGGUCCAGACUCCUACGGGAGGCAGCAGUGGGGAAUAUUGGACAAUGGGCGAAAGCCUGAUCCAGCCAUGCCGCGUGUGUGAAGAAGGUCUUCGGAUUGUAAAGCACUUUAAGUUGGGAGGAAGGGUAGUAAGUUAAUACCUUGCUGUUUUGACGUUACCGACAGAAUAAGCACCGGCUAACUCUGUGCCAGCAGCCGCCGUAACAC
rnacentral:rRNA from 1 species